rnacentral:rRNA from 1 species
ACCGAAUAGAUACCCCCGGGUAGUCCCACGCCCUAAACUAUGUCAACUAGUUGUUGGGAGAGUUAAAUCUCUUAGUAAACGCAGCUAAACGCGUGAAGUUGACCGCCUGGGGAGUACGGCCGCAAGGUUAAAACUCAAAGGAAUUGACGGGGACCCGCACAAGCGGUGGAUUAUGUGGAUUAAUUCGAUGCAACGCGAAAAACCUUACCUACCCUUGACAUGUACGGAACGGGGCAGAGACGUCCCGGUGCCCGAAAGGGAACCGUAACACAGGUGCUGCAUGGCUGUCGUCAGCUCGUGUCGUGAGAUGUUGGGUUAAGUCCCGCAACGAGCGCAACCCUUACCAUUAGUUGCUACAUUCAGUUGGGCACUCUAAUGGGACUGCCGGUGACAAACCGGAGGAAGGUGGGGAUGACGUCAAGUCCUCAUGGCCCUUAUGGGUAGGGCUUCACACGUAAUACAAUGGCCGGUACAGAGGGUUGCCAACCCGCGAGGGGGAGCCAAUCCCAGAAAGCCGGUCGUAGUCCGGAUUGUUCUCUGCAACUCGAGAGCAUGAAGUCGGAAUCGCUAGUAA